AUGAACGCUGGCGGCGUGCCUAAUACAUGCAAGUCGAGCGAACAGACGAGGAGCUUGCUCCUUCGACGUUAGCGGCGGACGGGGGAGUAACACGUAGGUAACCUACCUAUAAGACUGGGAUAACUUCGGGAAACCGGAGCUAAUACCGGAUAAUAUUUCGAACCGCAUGGUUCGAUAGGGAAAGAUGGCCUUGCUAUCACGUAUAGAUGGACCUGCGGCGUAUUAGCUAGUUGGUAAGGUAACGGCUUACCAAGGCAACGAUACGUAGCCGACCUGAGAGGGUGAUCGGCCACCCUGGAACUGGGACGCGGUCCAGACUCCUACGGGAGGCAGCAGUAGGGAAUCUUCCGCAAUGGGCGAAAGCCUGACGGAGCAACGCCGCGUGAGUGAUGAAGGUCUUCGGAUCGUAAAACUCUGUUAUUAGGGAAGAACAAACGUGUAAGUAACUGUGCACGUCUUGACGGUACCUAAUCAGAAAGCCACGGCUAACUACGUG
rnacentral:rRNA from 1 species